UACGAAGGGUGCAAGCGUUAAUCGGAAUUACUGGGCGUAAAGGGUGCGUAGGCGGUUAUUUAAGUCUGCCGUGAAAUCCCCGGGCUCAACCUGGGAAUGGCAAUGGAUACUGGCGAGCUAGAGUGUGUCAGAGGAUGGUGGAAUUCCCGGUGUAGCGGUGAAAUGCGUAGAGAUCGGGAGGAACAUCAGUGGCGAAGGCGGCCAUCUGGGACAACACUGACGCUGAGACGCGAAAGCGUGGGGAGCGAACAGG
rnacentral:rRNA from 1 species